rnacentral:tRNA from 1 species
GGACCCAUAGUGUAGCCUGGAUAUCACAGGGGCUUGCGGAGCCUUUAACCCGUGUUCAAAUCGCGGUGGGUCCG